UACAGAGGGGGCAAGCGUUAUUCGGAAUUAUUGGGCGUAAAGGGCGCGUAGGCGGCCUGACAAGUGGAUGGUGAAAUCCCUCGGCUUAACCGAGGAACUGCCCUCCAAACUGCUUGGCUUGAGUCCGGGAGAGGUGAGUGGAAUUCCCAGUGUAGCGGUGAAAUGCGUAGAUAUUGGGAGGAACACCAGUGGCGAAGGCGGCUCACUGGACCGGAACUGACGCUGAGGCGCGAAAGCGUGGGGAGCAAACGGG
rnacentral:rRNA from 1 species